rnacentral:rRNA from 1 species
GCCAGUAGCCAUAUCACUCUGUAGCCCAAGACUGGUUGCCCACUGAAGCUAAUCAGGGCUGAGCCUGGUCAGUACCUGGAUGGGAGAACUCCUGGGAAAACUAGGUUGCUGUUGGAA